UCGUAGGCUUUAACUGCACUCACCUGCCCCACCUGCAGCCUCCCCAUGUCCCUGCCCAGCUUGGGGCACUCUUGUUUCAGGGUGUGACCCAUAGGCUCACUCCCUGCCUUGACUGUGUCUCAUCACCAUGAACUUGCCAGAUGAGCUGGGCUCUUGGUGACACAUGCUCUGCUCUUCUCACACAGGGCCAUGGAAAUUGCAGUUUUGUGGCAAGUUAGAGGAUUAGUAGCUGCAUCAGCUUUUGGUACAAAUAAAAGCUGUAAGUCAACCAGUCCUCCUGCAGGUAUGACAGCUAGGAUUUCCAUGAACAAGGCUUCAGAGACCUAAGUCCCACAUAACUAUAUGACAAAAUGGAAGAAUGCUUGUAACUACUGAAGACUCAGAACAAAUGGUAGAGACUGACUUCUUCAACAGUGCCUGCAACUGACAUGGUCCUCCAUUGUAUAUUGAAGUAUCUAAGUAGGGCAGUUUGGGACAGGGGAAAACUGCUCUUAUUGCCUCUGCCCUGCAUCAGCAGCUAUUCAAAAGUUCAGUUUCAUAGAGAUAAACUCAUAUAAAGUGGCUAUUUCUAUCAUAUCUAUGAGAUGAGGUUGAAGAAACCCUGCCUAACAUUUCAGAAACAGUUAACAACGGACAAAGCAAAUAAGACAACAACAACAAAGCAAAUACUCUCCAAAUUAUCUUUGCAGAGUAAGAAAUGUUAUUAGCUUUUCAAAUAGAACUUAAUUUCUGUCCUGAACUCUGAUGGCAAAAUGAACAGAUGAGAAGCAGUGCAUGUGCAUUGUUUGUCCAUCUUUUUAAGCCUACCCCCACUUGGAUUCUUACAAAAUGGUUCAUGUUUGCUGUAAUUAGUUUCAUUUUGUUAUGUUGAUUUACACUAAUAAAGAUUUUGGCCCAGACUUUUAAAAGCCUGGCUAACAUCAACAGGUAUUCAAAGGCUCUUUUUAUAGCCUCUAUGGAGUAAUUGGAAUAUUUUGGUAGAUUGAAAAUAAUAGCAAUUCACUAAGGGAAAUUAAGCUAAUGAAUGAAGGCCUUUUACUUAGAACUAACAAAAUGUAUUAGACUUUGCAAUAAUCUGUCUGAAGUGGUUUUGAAGCCCUGUGGCUUGAUUUUAUUCAAAGUUGAAUUGGACAGUACACUUAAACACUGUGGGAAACUAUCUCGAACUAGUGUGGGGAAUAAAUUAUAUGUUUUUGUUUGUUUGUUUGUUUUCACUUAGCUCUUGUAAACACAGAGGAAAUCAUGGAGUCUAAAGAAAAUAGCUUCAUGAGUGAUCCAGACUUCACAUGCUUGAUAUAUAUUGAAUUUUUGUAAAGGAGGGAGUGGAAGGAACCAAUCAAAUAAAUCCAAAGCAAAAUUUCUUUCAGUAAUUCCCCAAGAUGACAAUUGCUCUUUUAGUUGAGAUUGUAUGUGAUUUCUGAUGGUAUGACCCUUUAUACUUCUCCACUAUAUGUCUUUGCAAUCAUGGUAAUCAUCUGCUACAAGACAUUUUGCAUAUUCAAAGGUCCUCACCACUAUUAGUAGGAUAUUGAUCUAGAUGAGUCAUUGACCUUAUUUAUGUGUUGUUGUUCCUCCCCCAAGAUUUUCAUGCAAAGGAAUAUUGACAUUGUUUUGUCCAAGUAGUAAUGAAUAUCUCACAGAGGAGUGGGGUGCUGCUUGAUCAUACUGGGCAGACAUGAAUUGUCAAAUUUUACACUUCCAUUUUCUCUUUCAUGAACUGAAGCAGAAUAAUCAUAUCUUGUUUUGCAAGAGAGGCUGUUAACUGUGGGGUAUGUGAACUAUAUUUUUCCAUGUUAUGUGCACUGAAAUACAUACUUAAAAUGCCCAAGUAUUGAAGUUUUAGUUUUAUAGUGCAAUAAAGAGUUGCUACUUAAAGUCCUA